rnacentral:lncRNA from 1 species
GAUAAGUCUUUGUAAAGCACAGAGACAAUAAGUUAAUCAUUUUAAGUUGUUUUCACAAAACAAAACCUAAGCUCUUCUUGAAUACGUAAAGAUCUUUUUCUCUUUGAAGUAUAUGGCCUCCUCACAUCUUUGUCAAGGCACAAACUAACCAUCAAAUGUCCUUAUUAUUUUUCUUUCUUUUUAACUAUCCACAUUAACUAUGCAAUUCUGAUCCAUAUAUUCCAUGCUAUAUGUCUUCAAAUCUCAACCUUACACCAUUAUCAAGUAUAUUCAUACCAAUUAGUCAUUCAUGUAUUAUAAACACUUGAU